rnacentral:rRNA from 1 species
GGAAGCAAUUCUCUCUGAAUCUGCGAACGGCUCCGCAAACCAGUUGUAAACUAUAGCAAGCAAUCCGGGGGGUCGCCGUUAAAAAGCGGCCCUCCGGUAAUAAGGAUAACCAUGGUAAUUCUGAGGCUAAUACAAGAACGUAACCCCCGGCCGACCCGCGAGGGAAAGCCGGGAGACGUACGAGUUUUACGCGAGGAGUUAUCGGGAAAGAACGUACGUCUGGACCGCGCCAAAGACGGAUGGAUCCCACCAACCCUCACGGGUCGGGGUUCGCCCGAGCGGCUCUUGCAAUGUGCUUCUGACCUAUCAACUAGAUGGCAGCGUAAGGGACAUGCUAUGGUGACAACGGGUACAGAGGAUUAGGGUUCGAUCCUGGAGAGUGGGCCUGAGAGAUUGCUCAUACUUCUAAGGAAGGCAGCAGGCGCGCAACGUUCCCCUUGGGCAAUGCUUGAGGGCGUUAGGGGACAUAUGAAUGCCUGCCUUAUAGGUGGGCAAUUCAAAUGGGUCUGUUGUAAACAGGCUCUCGAGUAACAAUUAGAGGACAAGUCUGGUGCCAGCACCCGCGGUAAUUCCAGCUCUAAUAACAUACGUUAAAGUUGUUGCGGUUAAAACGCUCGUAAUCGGCUUAAAGGUCAUCAGAUUCGGCAGGGAAGGGGCUCGGGACUUGGCUGCCUAUCGGGGCGCGCCGGGUCAAUCCCAGCGGUUGGGGUGGCCAAGUGCGUUCUCGGGUCCCUUCACUGGGUCACAGGGCUCCUCUCCCUCAUGGGGGGGGCUGUCCGGCAGGGAGUGCCACUCACCAUGACCAAACUGGGUUGAUCAAACAAGGUCGCUCGAUCUUGCACAGCACAGCAUGGCAUGAAUCUAGCCGGUUCGAUCCUCUCGCGGGGGUCGGGCUGGCAGAAGCGAUAGGGGUGUUCGAGGGUGACCGAAUUGCCGGGCGAGUGGUGAAAUACGUUGACCCUGGCAAGUCGACCAAAGGCGAAAGCAGUCAUCAAGGGCACGCCCGUUGAUCAAGAGCGAAAGUUAAGGGUUCGAAGACGAUCAGAUACCGUCGUAGUCUUAACUAUAAAUGAUACUGGCCAGGGAUUGGACACUGUCCAUCUCGACUCCUCCUGCACCUUAGAGAAAUUAGAGUCUUUGAGUUCUGGGGGGAGUAUGGUCGCAAGGCUGAAACUUAAAGGAAUUGACGGAAGGGCACACAAAGAGUGGAACCUGCGGCUUAAUUUGACUCAACACGGGAAAACUCACCAGGUCCGGAUACACGUAUGAAAGACAAGCUGAAAGACUUUUCUCAAUGAUGUAAGUGGUGGUGCAUGGUCGUUCUUAGUUCGUGGAUUGAUUUGUCUGGUCUAUUCCGAUAACGAGCGAGACCCCGACGUUCCUAAUAGGGGCGGCAGCCAGGCUCGCCCUCACGGGCUUGCUAGCAGUCGCCUUAAUUAGCUUCUUAGACGUAUCAGAGCCGAUAAGGUUCUUGAAAUGGGUUAAUAACAGGUCAGUCAUGCCCUUAGAUGUUCUGGGCCGCACGCGCGUUACAAUGGUAUACAUAGAAAGUGCCUCAAAGGGCGUCUCCGCGGCCGACAGGUCGCGGUAACCCCUAAUCUCUCCCUUGACUGGGACAGACUAUUGCAAUUAUUGGUCUCCAACGAGGAAUUUUUAGUAGUCGCAGGUCAUUAACCUGCGACGAAUGCGUCCCUGCCCUUUGUACACACCGCCCGUCGCUGCUACCGAUUGGGCUUUGCGGUUACGCGUUCGGAGACAUCGGUUCGCCGCCUUCUUCACGGGAGGCGUCAGCCGGAGUUGAAGUCCUAAGCACCGCAAAUCUGAGGAAGCAGAGCCGU